rnacentral:sRNA from 1 species
CUUUUUGUUUGUUUUCUUAAACACAUUUUGGACAUUUGCUAUCAGGAAUAAUCCCGCUUAGUGGGAGGGCAGGAUGGGGUCCUGGCCCCUGACAUCCAGACAUGCUGCUGUGAGGGCAUGUCACAGCAUGUCUCUUUCUGUAAAAGUUGAUAUUUCUGAAUUUUUAAGCAAGGAAAACCGACGCAUGAGCAGCCGCCUGACCCCUCGUGUCUGUCUUUCCACCCAGAGGAGCUUACCCGCCUUGAGACAGCUGACCCCCGACUCCGCGGCCUUCAUCCAGCAGAGCCAGCAGCAGCCGCCACCGCCCGCCUCGCAGGCCACCACUGCGCUCACGGCCGUGGUGCUGAGUAGCUCGGUCCAGCGCACGGCCGGGAAGACGGCGGCCACCGUGACCAGUGCCCUCCAGCCCCCUGUGCUCAGCCUCACGCAGCCCACGCAGGUCGGCGUCAGCAAGCAGGGGCAACCCACACCGCUGGUAUGGAAGGGGUGCCUGACUGGUCUGCACAGCCCACCGUGCCUCUGCUCCCGCCAGCUUCUUAGAUAAAUUGGCCACGGCUCAGAAACUUUUUCCAAGCAUGCAGGAAGGCUCCUGCUAGAGGAAGCUUGGGUAUUACCUUAAAUAGUUAAAAUAGAAACCAGAGGUAGAGGCCCUGGGAUUUUGUAUUUUGUCUCAGUAAAAUGAAAUAGUUGAGUUGACUUUGAACCACUGGCACGUCCCCACCCUGCCUUGUCUAGGGAUGUUACUGGUGUAAAUGAAUGCAGCGUGUUUUUAGAGGAUCUUGUAGAUAGAUGUUCUCUUGGAUUAGGAGCAGCGGUUCAAGCGUGUAAGACACGGGCACCCACGUGGGACAGGUGGGCAGGAGACUGGAGGCAGGGUGUCAGCUCACAGCACAGGGUGGAUUUAGGUGAGUCCCGGGAGGCGAAGCUGUGGCUGCUCAUAGCGGUUCAUUUAUGUGCAGUUUGGAUCUGGCUUUCUUGGUUUUGUAGUCAUGAUGUUUGCUCUGCAGCUAGAGAAAGGAUGUCUUUGCCAGAAGAAUUACAUUUUGAGCACAUUCCCUUUCAUGGGCAGAGGGAUUCACCAAACGUAGAAGGGCAGUUUUAAAAAAAUUUCAGAGGGGUUUUCUUCUUCUAAAGACAGCUUAAACAACAAAACGGUGCGGGCUCCCUCAUCAUGAGCUGGUAUGUGUUCUGAUGGUGCACACAUGGGAACCAGCUGGGUGAGGAGUAUCCAUUAGGGGCUGGUUGUAUUUGUUCUGUCGGUUGUAUUUGUUCUGUCUUGAUAGUAGCGAGAACAGGGUGAAGUGGCAUGGAGGGAGGGAGGGUGCCCCUUAGAAAGGCAGGGAAGCAUGGCCACCGGGAAGGGCUGAGCUCCUGUGGAGAGAGAGGGCUUCCUUGCCUGCCUUUUGACUCCAGAGGGGAAGAGAUGUGCCGUGCCUCUUGCUUUAGUGUAGUGUAAGGACAGAACUUCCCUAUUCACUAGUCAGUGGAGCUAGUUUACCCAAAAGGUGGGUUCUGUUUAAGCAGGUACAGCCUGUGGGCGAUCAUUUUCUUUUCAAAUUUUGACCUCUGGUGCUUAGUCACACACGAGCAGCAUGGGUGUUUUUAGAAUUAGAUGUUGUGUUCGGCAGCAGGAUCACCUCUGCAUUCUGCUUCCCUGGGCUCCUCCUGACCAGGUGUGGAGUCUGCAGAGCACAGCCAGCGGGAUCCAGGGCAUCCAAUCCAUUGCCUGCACCCUGAAGCCUGUGGAGGCAGAACCCAGGCUUCUCCCUGAUUUGAUGACAGGCUCCCUGCACCGCAGGGCCUGGCCCUGGCAUUUGAUGGCAGGUUCCCUGCACCCCAGGGCCUGGCCUGAGCAUUUGACGGCAGGUGGCCUGAGCUGCCUGAGGCUCUUCCUGUCCGGUGUGGGUGUUCCUGUUUUGUUGAAGACAUGUUUGCAUUACAGGCCGCUUCCCCAGGUCCCCACACAUAUUCUGCAGCAUAGAGUUUACCUGCCAGGGCACCUUUGCAAAAUGGUAGCAACUAAAUUCUGAAACAUCUGGGCCCAGAGGUUUGAGGCCAGGCCUUAUGGACUUGAGCAUUGGCUUUUGACAAGGACACCAGUGUCUGUGGGCCCCAGCGUCCUGGGGACAGGGCCAGAGCACAGGCCAUGGUCAGUGCUGCCAGGUUUUGGAUCUCUGCCUUGUGCCGGAGGUGAGAGUGAGAGGCAGGAUGACAGCAGAGCUGGGCAGACCCUGCCAUGAGGGGCCCAGCAGGGGCUGGGCGGACAGAGCUGGCCAUGCUGGGGGCAGUGGGUGGAGGCCCUUGAGGGCCAAGUUCAGGCAGGACUUAGGAACUCUAACCCCCCUCCAGUAGAAAAGCCCUCAGCCUUCUUAUAGAAAAUUCAGAAAGGGAGCUGGGUUUGGUAGCUCAUGACUGUAAUUCAGCACUUUGGGAGGUCAAAGUGGGAGGUUCGCUUGAGCCUAGGAGUUCAAGACCAACCGGGCCAACAUGGUGAAACCCCAUCUCUAC